rnacentral:rRNA from 1 species
CAGUAGCCACGGUAAUACGAAGGGUGCAAGCGUUAAUCGGAAUUACUGGGCGUAAAGCGUGCGUAGGCGGUUUGUUAAGUCUGUUGUGAAAUCCCCGGGCUCAACCUGGGAAUGGCAAUGGAUACUGGCAAGCUAGAGUGUGUCAGAGGAUGGUGGAAUUCCCGGUGUAGCGGUGAAAUGCGUAGAGAUCGGGAGGAACAUCAGUGGCGAAGGCGGCCAUCUGGGACAACACUGACGCUGAGGCACGAAAGCGUGGGGAGCAAACAGGAUUAGAUACCCGGGUAGUCCCUGUCUCUUAUAC